rnacentral:lncRNA from 1 species
CGCAAUUUUACAUUAGGCUUUUUAUUUAAAUGAUUAGUAAAUGACAAUAGUGAAGUAAAAAGAUGUAGAGAGGGCAAAACAGCUCUUCUUGUUCCACUGAUUGAAAAGUUCCAACUGGAAACAGACUUUGUUAAACUGCUUCUGCCACGAAAAAUCAGUGCAAAAAAUGCUGUUGCAAUUCAUUCGCUUUAUAUCAAACCAAUGUAUCGUUCUGUCAUUAAUGAGUUUUAUUUACUUAAUUUACAUGGAGUUAAUUCACAGGGACAUAUAAGUGCAGAAGAUUUUAUGAGGUUAUUGCAUGAACUUAAAACCUGUCAUGUCCAUUAUUUAGUGCACAUUUUACCAGUUUGCAUUUGUUUGAGAUGCACUGAAUAUAGACAUGAAAGACUUAAUCAGCUUUCAGAAUGUACCUAUGCAACACCUUACCAUGGUCCUAUUACAAAUAGCCCUUUUCGUAAUUUACCAGUAGGACAAC